UACAGAGGCCUCAAGCGUUGUUCGGAUUCAUUGGGCGUAAAGGGUGCGUAGGUGGCGCGCUAAGUCAGGUGUGAAAUUUCGGAGCUUAACUCCGAAACUGCAUUUGAUACUGGCGUGCUUGAGGACUGGAGAGGAGACUGGAAUUCACGGUGUAGCAGUGAAAUGCGUAGAGAUCGUGAGGAAGACCAGUGGCGAAGGCGGGUCUCUGGACAGUUCCUGACACUGAGGCACGAAGGCCAGGGGAGCAAACGGG
rnacentral:rRNA from 1 species